rnacentral:rRNA from 1 species
AUAGCGUAUAUUAAAGUUGUUGCAGUUAAAAAGCUCGUAGUUGAACCUUGGGCCUGGCUGGCCGGUCCGCCUCACCGCGUGCACUGGUCCGGCCGGGCCUUUCCUUCUGGGGAUCCGCAUGCCCUUUACUGGGUGUGUCGGGGAACCAGGACUUUUACUUUGAAAAAAUUAGAGUGUUCAAAGCAGGCCUUUGCUCGGAUACAUUAGCAUGGAAUAAUAGAAUAGGACGGCUUUCCUAUUUUGUUGGUUUCUAGGGGAGCCGUAAUGAUUAAUAGGGAUAGUCGGGGGCAUUAGUAUUCAAUUGUCAGAGGUGAAAUUCUUGGAUUUAUUGAAGACUAACUACUG